GUGUCAGCCGCCGCGGUAAAACCAGCACCUCAAGUGGUCAGGAGGAUUAUUGGGCCUAAAGCAUCCGUAGCCUGCUCUGUAAGUUUCCGGUUAAAUCCAUUAGCUCAACUAAUGGCCUGCCGGAAAUACUGCAGAGCUAGGAAGUGGGAGAGGUAGACGGUACUCGGUAGGAAGGGGUAAAAUCCUUUGAUCUAUUGAUGACCACCUGUGGCGAAGGCGGUCUACCAGAACACGUUCGACGGUGAGGGAUGAAAGCUGGGGGAGCAAACCGGAUUAGAUACCCGGGUAGUCCCAGCUGUAAACGAUGCAGACUCGGUGAUGCCCUGGCUUGUGGCCAGUGCAGUGCCGCAGGGAAGCCGUUAAGUUUGCCGCCUGGGAAGUACGUACGCAAGUAUGAAACUUAAAGGAAUUGGCGGGGGAGCACCACAAGGGGUGAAGCCUGCGGUUCAAUUGGAGUCAACGCCAGAAAUCUUACCCGGAGAGACAGCAGAAUGAAGGUCAAGCUGAAGACUUUACCAGACAAGCUAAGAGGUGGUGCAUGGCCGUCGCCAGCUCGUGCCGUGAGAUGUCCUGUUAAGUCAGGUAACGAGCGAGAUCCCUGCCUCUAGUUGCCACCAUUACUCUCAGGAGUAGUGGGGCGAAUUAGCGGGACCGCCACAGUUAAUGUGGAGGAAGGAAGGGGCCACGGCAGGUCAGUAUGCCCCGAAACUCUGGGGCCACACGCGGGCUGCAAUGGUAGUGACAAUGAGUUCCGAAACCGAAAGGUGGAGGUAAUCUUCAAACGCUACCACAGUUAUGAUUGAGGGCUGCAACUCGCCCUCAUGAAUAUGGAAUCCCUAGUAACUGCGUGUCAUUAUCGCGCGGUGAAUACGUCCCUGCUCCUU
rnacentral:rRNA from 1 species